UUUAAAUCUGGCAUUAUUCAUCGAACGAAAGAGGAACGAGAAAACUGGAAGAAAAAACAAUUUGCAGUAAAGAAGUAAUAGGAUGAAAACCGGGCCGCAAAUCGGAGCCUUUAUUUGUUUUCUUGUCCUUCUGAAUCUUAAUGGACUUUGCCAAGGGAUGCUUGGCUGGAAAGGAUAUCCGGUAGGAAAGAAAGCAAUAUCCAAGAGAACUGAAGCAUACUGCAUAAUAGCCAGACAGAAGGGAUGUUGUCUACCGGACAGAAAACGAUCUAAGAUUGCUGAAAUCAUGGAUGUUCCUGAAAAGUUAACGGAAAAUAGACCUCACUGACAAGUACACGUAGGCAGCUCAGUUAUAUUUAAAAACAAUGCAACAAAGCAAAGGAUUGUAAGAAUCGUAAGGGAUUCUUGUGUAAUAUUAGUAGAAGUUAUAAUCCGCUGAGAAAAAUCCAGUGAUAAAUGCUCAAGCUAGGUUGAUUUGGACUUUCUUAUGUUGUUAAAGCUAUAGUUUUUAGUUUAAUAUCGCUCCUUGAUAACUUAAUGAUGUAAUCUCACCAAAAAAAGGAUUCUUUGUUAACCUAUCAUAGCAGUAUUGGAGACAAAGUACCAUUCACCAGCUACAGGAAUCAUAUACUUAAUAUUCCGUAAUAAAAUCUCACUUUAAUGCAA